rnacentral:rRNA from 1 species
AUACAGAGGGUGCGAGCGUUAAUCGGAAUUACUGGGCGUAAAGCGCGCGUAGGCGGCUUAUUAAGUCAGAUGUGAAAUCCCCGGGCUCAACCUGGGAACUGCAUCUGAUACUGGUAAGCUAGAGUUUUGGAGAGGGAAGUAGAAUUUCAGGUGUAGCGGUGAAAUGCAUAGAGAUCUGAAGGAAUACCAGUGGCGAAGGCGACUUCCUGGCCAAAAACUGACGCUGAGGUGCGAAAGCGUGGGUAGCAAACGGGAUUAGAUACCCCUGUAGUCC